rnacentral:rRNA from 1 species
CCUACGGGUGGCAGCAGUGAGGAAUAUUGGUCAAUGGACGAGAGUCUGAACCAGCCAAGUAGCGUGAAGGAUGACUGCCCUAUGGGUUGUAAACUUCUUUUAUAAAGGAAUAAAACGCGGCACGUGUGCCUGUUUGCAUGUACUUUAUGAAUAAGGAUCGGCUAACUCCGUGCCAGCAGCCGCGGUAAUACGGAGGAUCCGAGCGUUAUCCGGAUUUAUUGGGUUUAAAGGGAGCGUAGAUGGGUUGUUAAGUCAGUUGUGAAAGUUUGCGGCUCAACCGUAAAAUUGCAAUUGAUACUGGCAGUCUUGAGUACAGUUGAGGUAGGCGGAAUUCGUGGUGUAGCGGUGAAAUGCUUAGAUAUCACGAAGAACCCCGAUUGCGAAGGCAGCUUACUAAACUGUGACUGACAUUGAUGCCCGAAAGUGUGGGUAUCAAACAGGAUUAGAUACCCCUGUAGUC